AGAUCCGGAUCCGUGAAUGUCACUCCAAUGACUUCCAUCUGCGCCUGCUGCUUCGCCGUGUGUGCUACCCAUUCAUAGGUUGUUCACCUCACUACACAUUUGUUCCGAACUGCUUAAACCCUGACAAACACCAGCUGCUUAAACAAGGAGAUCUACGCUUCACUAGGGAGUACACUGGAACCCUUGUGACUUCAACGGAGCACCUAAAACAUUGCUGAUCAAGAUGGUUUUCAAUCCGCUUUCAACUUUACAACCCAGAGACUGGCACAAGACAAUCCACGUACGUGUCUGCAGAAAAUGGGAAUUCCAUGGAAGCAAUGAAAAUGGCCCAUUACAACACAUUGAUAUGGUUCUUGUCGACAACCAGGGAAACACCAUGUACGCUGAGAUACCCGCAAAAGAAGCAGAGAAGCUUGGACCUAUGAUACAAGUGGACAGAACCUAUGUCAUAGCUCGCUUCAAAGUUUGCAAUGCAAUUUUUUUUUCAAAUCAGUCCCAGGUCCCUAUAUGCUAGAAUUCACCUGUCAUACCAAAAUUAGUGCUGCAACCGAGCAAAUAACUGAGCCUAAGUAUAUCUACAACCUCACUCCUUUUGAAAAACUCCCAGAAUUCAUCAAUGACACAAAAAAAUUCCAUGAUAUCCUUGGCAUUAUAACAGAAAUCAAUGAACCAGAGUGGAUUCCCUUCUCCAAUCAGCCUAAUCCUUCCUUACGACAUGACAUCAGAUUGACAGAUGGAUGUGGCCAAGAGAUAAAAAUGGCAAUUUGGGGUUCAAAAGCAACACAAUUUAGUAUGCC